UACGGAGGGGGCAAGCGUUAUUCGGAAUUAUUGGGCGUAAAGCGCACGUAGGCGGCUUUGCAAGUUAGAGGUGAAAGCCCGGGGCUCAACCCCGGAAUUGCCUUUAAAACUGCAUCGCUAGAAUUGUGGAGAGGUAAGUGGAAUUCCGAGUGUAGAGGUGAAAUUCGUAGAUAUUCGGAAGAACACCAGUGGCGAAGGCGACUUACUGGACACAUAUUGACGCUGAGGUGCGAAAGCGUGGGGAGCAAACAGG
rnacentral:rRNA from 1 species